GUUCUUCGCUCAGUCGGCUGCGGCUCUUCCUCGGGCAGCGGAAGCGGCGCGGCGGUCGGAGAAGUGGCCUAAAACUUCGGCGUUGGGUGAAAGAAAAUGGCCUGAACCAAGCAGACGGCUGUAAAUCCACCGGUGGGAAAGCCCCCCCGCAAACAGCUGGCCACGAAAGUCGCCAGGAAAAGCGCCACCUCUACCGGCGGGGUGAAGAAGCCUCAUCGCUACAGGGCCGGGACCCUGGCGCUUCGAGAGAUUCGUCGUUAUCAGAAGUCGACCGAGCUGCUCAUCCGGAAGCUGCUCUUCCAGAGGUUGGUGAGGGAGAUCGCGCGGGAUUUCAAAACCGACCUGAGGUUUCAGAGCGCAGCCAUCGGUGCGCUGCCGGAGGCUAGCGAAGCGUACCUGGUGAGUCUGUUCGAAGAUACCAACCUGUGUGCCCUCCACGCUAAGAGAGUCACCAUCAUGCCCAAAGACAUCCAGUUGGCCCGCCGGAUACGGGGAGAGAGAGCUUAAGUGAAGGCAGUUUUUAUGGCGUUUUGUAGUAAAUUCUGUAAAACACUUUGGUUUAAUUUGUGACUUUUUUUGUAAGAAAUUGUUUAUAUAAUAUGUUGCGUUUGUACUUAAGUCAUUCCAUCUUUCACUCAGGAUGAAUGCGAAAGUGACUGUUCACAGACCUCAGUGAUGUGAGCACUGUUGCUCAGGAGCGACAAGUUGCUAAUAUGCAGAAGGGAUGGGUGAUAUUUCUUGCUUCUCAUGAUGCAUGUUUCUGUAUGUUAAUGAUUUGUUGGGUAGCUAUUAAGGUACUAGAGUUGAUAAAUGUGUACUGAGUCCUUUUGCAAUAAAACUGGUUAUGACUUGAUCCAGGUGUUUAACAAUUGGGGCUGUUAAGUCUGACCAUACAUCACUGUGAUAGAAUGUGGGCUUUUUCAAGGGUGAAGAUACAAGUCUUAACCACAGUGUAACUUACAGUUUCCUUUAAAAAAAAAAAAAAAGUAAACCUGGCAGCUAUAGAAUACACUAUGUGCAUUUAUAAUAGCUAUUUUAUUUAUUGUAGUGUCAACAUUUUUAAAUUAAAUGUUUUACAUUCACAAGUGGUGGGGAGUCUUGUCAUUAGGCUGUGUGUAAUUUAGAGUCCAGUUGGUUUUCUUCUGACUGCACUUGUUCUCAUAGUAGUAAAAUGCUAUGCGCAUUUAUACCUUGCAUAAGUCCUCAUUCUACCACAUGUUAAUCCUCUAGCUGAUAAUGCAAACACUAACUGGGGGAUUUUAUUUAUAAGGGCUCUAGAAAAAACAAGUUAUUCACACUAGCAUCAUCUUAACUAAUAUUCUGAACUAGUUAGUGCAGCUUUUCAUUGUGUUGUGUGGUUGGUCUCCUAACUAGGUUGAGUUUUUCUCCUCUGCUAAGAGGAAACAGUACCGAAGUUCUUUUUCUUGUGGCAUUUGUAUGAUGAAAACUUGGUGUGGGGGAGGAGCACAAAACUCCAGCCCACUGAACCUCUGCCUAUUAAGAUGGUGUUGGGUUAGGUUACAUCUGGUUACUGUCCUGGGAAAAUAAUUUUUAUAGAGAUGGCCUUCCAAGUGGUUUUAAAAUUUACUGAAGUUUUUAGGUCAAUUAUGUAUGUUGACUAAAUUUACAAAUAAACUUGUUUAUCCAAAAAA